rnacentral:misc_RNA from 1 species
AGAUAUUGUCAAAACAUCUCAACAGUAUUACUCGAAUUAGAAUUUCAUUUUAUUUUUAUUACGUAUUUUCUUUGAUAUCAUAAGAUAUGCGAAUUUAAUAAUAUAAUAUGAAUAAGCUAUUAUUAUACUGUACACGCGUUUAUCGGACGAGUGUUAUCUUACGAAAAUAUCCCGUUUGUUCAUAUUCUACUGAACAUCCCAGCGCAAUAUUUAUUGGGACCAAAGAUAGAUACAAUGGCAUUACAAUUGAUUCCAAAAAAGAAAAUAUCAAUGAGGAAAAAUUCACAAAAAAUCUUGAAGAGUCACUGGCAUACUGGGCAACCGAAGGACACAGAUGUAUAUGGUUCAAGAUUAACAUAAAUGAUGCUUUUUGUGUACCCAUAUUAGCACAAGCUUGCUGUUCUUAGAAAGGAUUUAGUUUCCAUCAUGCAAGAGAUGACUUUGUGAUGAUGUACAAAUGGCUGCCUAGGGACUCGGAGCCGAACCUCCCUCCGGCUUGCCACACUAACCUUGGAGUUGGUGCCAUGGUCUUCAAUGAGAAGAACCACAUCCUUGCAAUCUCUGAGAAGCACUAUGAGUAUCCUCACUGGAAGCUUCCUGGAGGCUAUGUUGAGAGAGGUGAAGAUAUUGUUGAUGCAGCUGUAAGAGAGGUGAAAGAAGAGACAGGUAUUGACGCCGCAUUUGAGUCACUCGUCACAUUUCGUCACACACACAACAUGAUGUACGGAAACUCAGAUAUUUAUGUUAUUCUUAUGAUGAAGGCUUUGUCACAUGAUAUUGUACCAUCUCCAAGAGAGGUUAACCUUUGCAAGUGGAUGGAAGUAGAGGAAUAUAUUACCCAUCCUCAUGUUCAUUACUUCAAUAGACUUAUUGUUAAAACAGCUUUAGACUAUAAACAAAAGAACUUAAAACUUGAUAUACAGAAAAAAACUGUUAAAUGGGCAACUAAUGUAAGAGAAAUGAAUUUUUUGGUGGUUAAUGAAUGUAAAUAUUCUUAAAUGUAAUAUGUAGGUAAAUGUGAAAUAGUACAAAAUAUUGUGUAUAUAUUUGUGAAUAUGUAAAAUAUAAUGUACCUAUACUGUUGAAAAUACAAGUAAAAUAUAAAUUUAAAAA